rnacentral:rRNA from 1 species
GCGGCCUAUCAGCUUGUUGGUGAGGUAAUGGCUCACCAAGGCGACGACGGGUAGCCGGCCUGAGAGGGCGACCGGCCACACUGGGACUGAGACACGGCCCAGACUCCUACGGGAGGCAGCAGUGGGGAAUAUUGGGCAAUGGAGGAAACUCUGACCCAGCGACGCCGCGUGCGGGAUGAAGGCCUUCGGGUUGUAAACCGCUUUCAGCAGGGAAUAAGCGCAAGUGAAGGUACCUGCAGAAGAAGCACCGGCUAACUAUGUGCCAGCAGCCGCGGUAAUACAUAGGGUGCAAGCGUUGUCCGGAAUUAUUGGGCGUAAAGAGCUCGUAGGUGGUUUGUUACGUCGGUUGUGAAAUUCAGGGGCUCAACCCCUGACUUGCANCCGAUACGGGCAAGCUAGAGUUUGGUAGGGGAGACUGGAAUUCCU